GUCCUUGCCGUCCUUGCCCUUGGGGCCACGCGGACCUCGCGGGCCGCACGGGCCGCAUUUGCCGCAAUCGCCCUUGGGGCCACAGGGGCCGCAGGGGCCACACUUGCCACAGUCGCCCUUGGGUCCCUUGGGGCCACGCGGACCGACGGGUCCGCGCACGGCGCACACCUUGAUGCACUUUUUGUCGGGACACUUGUCAUAGUCGUCGCCGUCGGUGUCGUCGUCGUCGUCGUGGUGCUUCUUGUGGGCCUUCUUGCCGUCAUGGUGCUUGGCGUCCUUCUUCUUCUUGUGAUAAUCCUGCACAUCGUCCUCGUCCUCGUCGUCGUCGUCAUGCUUGUAGGCAACGCUGCGGUCCUCCGAGUACCAAUCGUCGUCGUCGCGCU
rnacentral:lncRNA from 1 species